GGAGAGGUGUCCGAGCGGUUUAAGGAGCCAGUCUUGAAAACUGGUGAUACUGAAAGGUACCGUGGGUUCGAAUCCCACCUUCUCCG
rnacentral:tRNA from 1 species